AAUCUGCUCACCCUAGUAUAUAAUAACAUCCAAAACACACGAUUCACUCUCAGUGGUUUCUGUGAGAUGAGAAAUACUUUGAAUGAGUACGCAGUGCCGCUCACAGUUGAGACGACAGACUUUAAUGUGGCCCAGGACACAUUCCUGUUAGGGCUGAACCAUGAAUCGUUUUUAAACCGAAAAA